rnacentral:rRNA from 1 species
GACGAACGCUGGCGGCGUGCUUAACACAUGCAAGUCGAGCGGUAAGGCCCUUUCGGGGGUACACGAGCGGCGAACGGGUGAGUAACACGUGGGUGACCUGCCCUCAGCUCUGGGAUAAGCCUGGGAAACUGGGUCUAAUACCGGAUAUGACUCCACGGCGCAUGUUGUGGGGUGGAAAGCCUUGUGUGGCUAGAGAUGGGCCCGCGGCCUAUCAGCUUGUUGGUGGGGUGAUGGCCUACCAAGGCGACGACGGGUAGCCGGCCUGAGAGGGCGACCGGCCACACUGGGACUGAGACACGGCCCAGACUCCUACGGGAGGCAGCAGUGGGGAAUCUUGCGCAAUGGGCGAAAGCCUGACGCAGCGACGCCGCGUGAGGGAUGACGGCCUCGG